UGCUGGAACACUCACAUGGUUGGUCCAUUUAACUCAGCUUUCAUUGAAAGAAACAAUCAAUGCAGUUUUGUGAAUAAAUACUGUGAAGAUACUAUUGCUUUUGUGUGCAUAAGCAAGAAGGUAACCCCUUUACCAGAUUUUGUGCAUAAAUAAAAUUAUUCACAAAUUUUCUUAACAGAAUUCUCUGCUAGUCGAGCAAAUCACAGUAUUUCGCCUUGAAUCAUUUUAAGUCUCAGCCUAGUUUCCAUGUCAAUGGCAGUCCACUUGGUACUUCUUGCCUCUUAUGAGAUGAUAGCAUUUGCUCUAAAAACCUUGUUCAGUCAUUGAACAUCUUGCAGAAAUUUAGCUAGUGUAGAUAUAUGCCUAGUGCUUGUACUAACAUUUUCUGUCUUCUAUUCUGACACUUAUUAGAUGAUUGCUUUAAAGCUAUUU
rnacentral:lncRNA from 1 species